UACGAACCGUACAAACGUUAUUCGGAAUCACUGGGCUUAAAGGGCGCGUAGGCGGCCUGCUAAGUCGAACGUGAAAUCCCCGAGCUCAACUCGGGAACUGCGUCCGAUACUGGCAGGCUUGAAUCCGGGAGAGGGAUGCGGAAUUCCAGGUGUAGCGGUGAAAUGCGUAGAUAUCUGGAGGAACACCGGUGGCGAAGGCGGCAUCCUGGACCGGCAUUGACGCUGAGGCGCGAAAGCCAGGGGAGCAAACGGG
rnacentral:rRNA from 1 species